AUUGCUCAAAGAGGGGUAACAAUUGUGAUUAUUGGGGCUCAGUUGGAUGGAACACCGGGACAGAUUGGGGUUAUAAGCCACAGAAUGCAUUAGAUAAAAAGGAUACGAAUGGGAAGUCCCUCUUGACUAGAAUGACCCUAACAAAGCCUAUAGGGCAAACUGGGCACUCCAUUAAAUUUACCUUAAAUAUUGAAAACCCCAGUCCUGGAGAUCAAGGUAUUUAUAUUCU